rnacentral:pre_miRNA from 1 species
UAAGAGGACGAACUAUCCUGGUUUGCCUGGAACUUUACUGGUGUUUGCAUGAGAAAUCCCAGUCCCCGGCAAUCCAGGAGAGUUGGUCCUUUUACCACCUC